CAAAAUGAAUUAUAUAUUACAAAUUCUGAUCAAAAUAGUAUCGAAGGUAUUUUCAGUAGUACCACAAACUGUCCAUACACGAUGACAAAACCAAAUAGUAAACUGAGAAGCAUACACUAAACUGUAUGUUUGUUUACAAAUCUUGGACAUAGUUUUAUAGUUAUGAAAUGGAAGAGCCACACAAAAAUCUGAUAUAAUUUUUAUAUAACACAUGAACUAUUCUCCAUGCUCUGAAUAAUCAAAGCCUAGAAAAUCUUGUAAACAACUUUUAAAAAACAAAAUACAGUAUAUCUAAUUCUUCUUAUACUCCACCUCUUCUGUGGAAGUAUAUCUAAGUCUAUAGAAACAAGUUUGGCCAGCAAAUUGACAUUUGCAUGGGAUCUUUAUUAGGUUGGGAAGCUCAGAGUACUGAAACAGAUUUUUUUCAUUAGCAAACUUAUACUUGAAAAAAAAAAAA